rnacentral:rRNA from 1 species
CCCUUAGACGUUCUGGGCCGCACGCGCGCUACACUGACCAGUGCAACAAGCAUCCGUCCUUGGCCGACAGGCUCGGGCAAUCUUUGAACGCUGGUCGUGAUGGGGAUAGACUUUUGCAAUUUUUGGUCUUCAACGAGGAAUUCCUAGUAAACGCAAGUCAUCAACUUGCAUUGAUUACGUCCCUGCCCUUUGUACACACCGCCCGUCGCACCUACCGAUUGAAUGGUCCGGUGAAGCCUCCGGAUUGGCGCGCACCUCGGUGCCGCCGAGAAGUUGGCUAAACCUUACCAUUUAGAGGAAGGAGAANUCGUANCA